rnacentral:rRNA from 1 species
UACGUAGGGGGCUAGCGUUGUCCGGAAUCAUUGGGCGUAAAGAGCGUGUAGGCGGUCCGGUAAGUCCGCUGUGAAAGUCGGGGGCUCAACCCUCGAAUGCCGGUGGAUACUGUCGGGCUAGAGUGCGGAAGAGGCGAGUGGAAUUCCUGGUGUAGCGGUGAAAUGCGCAGAUAUCAGGAGGAACACCUAUUGCGAAGGCAGCUCGCUGGGACGUUACUGACGCUGAGUCGCGAAAGCGUGGGGAGCAAACAGG